rnacentral:rRNA from 1 species
AUUGAACGCUGGCGGCAUGCCUUACACAUGCAAGUCGAACGGUAACAGGUCUUCGGAUGCUGACGAGUGGCGAACGGGUGAGUAAUACAUCGGAACGUGCCUAGUAGUGGGGGAUAACUACUCGAAAGAGUGGCUAAUACCGCAUGAGAUCUACGGAUGAAAGCAGGGGAUCGCAAGACCUUGUGCUACUAGAGCGGCCGAUGGCAGAUUAGGUAGUUGGUGGGAUAAAAGCUUACCAAGCCGACGAUCUGUAGCUGGUCUGAGAGGACGAUCAGCCACACUGGGACUGAGAAACGGCCCAGACUCCUACGGGAGGCAGCAGUGGGGAAUUUUGGACAAUGGGCGCAAGCCUGAUCCAGCAAUGCCGCGUGCAGGAUGGAGGCCUUCGGGUUGUAACUGCUUUUGUACGGAACGAAAAGCCCCGGGUUAAUACCCUGGGGUCAUGACGGUACCGUAAGAAUAAGCACCGGCUAACUACGUGCCAGCAGCCGCAGUAA